UCCGGGUUGGACCCGGCGGUCCCGCCAGACAUGGUAACUGGCAGCGAGGGUUGCGCUCGUUGCGGGACUUAACCCAACACCUCACGGCACGAGCUGACGACAACCAUGCAGCAUCUGUGCACGCUCCCUUGCGGGUCAUCCCUGUUUCCAGGUCUUACCACGUGCAUGUCAAACCCAGGUAAGGUGGGGAUGACGUGUCGUUACCUUA
rnacentral:misc_RNA from 1 species